AUUGAACGCUGGCGGCAUGCCUUACACAUGCAAGUCGAACGGUAACGGGCCUUCUGUUUCCGACGAGUGGCGAACGGGUGAGUAAUACAUCGGAACGUGCCCUAUCGUGGGGGAUAACGAGGCGAAAGCUUUGCUAAUACCGCAUACGAUCUACGGAUGAAAUCAGGGGAGCGCAAGGCCUUGCGCGGACGGAGCGGCCGAUGGCAGAUGAGGUAGUUGGUGGGAUAAAAGCUUACCAAGCCGACGAUCUGUAGCUGUUGUGGGAGGAUGAGCAGCCACCCUGGGACUGAGACACGGCCCAGACUCCUAAGGGAGGCAGCAGUGGGGAAUUUUGGACAAUGGGCGGAAGCCUGAUCCAGCCAUGCCGCGUGCAGGAUGAAGGCCUUCGGGUUGUAAUGUGCUUUUGUACGGAACGAAAAGCCUUCUUUUAAUACAGGAGGGUCAUGACGGUACCGGAAGAAUAAGCACCGGCUAACUACGUG
rnacentral:rRNA from 1 species